AGUGAACGCUGGCGGUAGGCCUAACACACGCAAGUCGAACGGCAGCACAGUAAGAGCUUGCUCUUACGGGUGGCGAGUGGCGGACGGGUGAGGAAUACAUCGGAAUCUACUUUUUCGUGGGGGAUAACGUAGGGAAACUUACGCUAAUACCGCAUACGACCUACGGGUGAAAGCAGGGGAUCUUCGGACCUUGCGCGAUUGAAUGAGCCGAUGUCGGAUUAGCUAGUUGGCGGGGUAAAGGCCCACCAAGGCGACGAUCCGUAGCUGGUCUGAGAGGAUGAUCAGCCACACUGGAACUGAGACACGGUCCAGACUCCUACGGGAGGCAGCAGUGGGGAAUAUUGGACAAUGGGCGCAAGCCUGAUCCAGCCAUACCGCGUGGGUGAAGAAGGCCUUCGGGUUGUAAAGCCCUUUUGUUGGGAAAGAAAAGCAGCAGGUUAAUACCCCGCUGUUCUGACAGUACCCAAAGAAUAAGCACCGGCUAACUUCGUG
rnacentral:rRNA from 1 species